AUUGAACGCUGGCGGCAUGCCUUACACAUGCAAGUCGAACGGCAGCACGGACUUCGGUCUGGUGGCGAGUGGCGAACGGGUGAGUAAUGUAUCGGAACGUACCUUUCAGUGGGGGAUAACGUAGCGAAAGUUACGCUAAUACCGCAUAUUCUGUGAGCAGGAAAGCAGGGGAUCGCAAGACCUUGCGCUGAUUGAGCGGCCGAUAUCAGAUUAGCUAGUUGGUGGGGUAAAGGCCUACCAAGGCUACGAUCUGUAGCGGGUCUGAGAGGAUGAUCCGCCACACUGGAACUGAGACACGGUCCAGACUCCUACGGGAGGCAGCAGUGGGGAAUUUUGGACAAUGGGGGCAACCCUGAUCCAGCCAUGCCGCGUGAGUGAAGAAGGCCUUCGGGUUGUAAAGCUCUUUCGGCCGGGAAGAAAUCGCAUCAGCUAAUACCUGGUGUGGAUGACGGUACCGGAAUAAGAAGCACCGGCUAACUACGUGCCAGCAGCCGCGGUAGUACGUAGGGUGCGAGCGUUAAUCGGAAUUACUGGGCGUAAAGCGUGCGCAGGCGGUUGUGUAAGACAGGCGUGAAAUCCCCGGGCUCAACCUGGGAACUGCGCUUGUGACUGCACAGCUAGAGUACGGCAGAGGGGGGUGGAAUUCCACGUGUAGCAGUGAAAUGCGUAGAGAUGUGGAGGAACACCGAUGGCGAAGGCAGCCCCCUGGGCCGAUACUGACGCUCAUGCACGAAAGCGUGGGUAGCAAACAGGAUUAGAUACCCUGGUAGUCCACGCCCUAAACGAUGUCAACUAGGUGUUGGGUGGGUAAAACCAUUUAGUACCGUAGCUAACGCGUGAAGUUGACCGCCUGGGGAGUACGGCCGCAAGGUUAAAACUCAAAGGAAUUGACGGGGACCCGCACAAGCGGUGGAUGAUGUGGAUUAAUUCGAUGCAACGCGAAAAACCUUACCUACCCUUGACAUGUCCAGAAGCCCGAAGAGAUUUGGGUGUGCCCGAAAGGGAACUGGAACACAGGUGCUGCAUGGCUGUCGUCAGCUCGUGUCGUGAGAUGUUGGGUUAAGUCCCGCAACGAGCGCAACCCUUGUCGUUAAUUGCCAUCAUUUAGUUGGGCACUUUAACGAGACUGCCGGUGACAAACCGGAGGAAGGUGGGGAUGACGUCAAGUCCUCAUGGCCCUUAUGGGUAGGGCUUCACACGUCAUACAAUGGUCGGUACAGAGGGUUGCCAAGCCGCGUGGUGGAGCCAAUCCCAGAAAGCCGAUCGUAGUCCGGAUUGCAGGCUGCAACUCGCCUGCAUGAAGUCGGAAUCGCUAGUAAUCGCGGAUCAGCAUGUCGCGGUGAAUACGUUCCCGGGUCU
rnacentral:rRNA from 1 species